AACUUAUCCUGUUGUAGCUUGUAUUGGUUGUUUCCCUUCAUUCAGCCUACAAAAUAGUCUUUUUUCUUAAAAAUCUAAGACUGGUAUGAUUGUCUUGGUCUCCUACUGGCCAUUGGUUCAAGGCCUGAUCUUUCAGCCUAUUUCUUCACCUCAGAGCCAAAUUCUAUCUGUUCGGCCUGGGUCUCUAUCCUUAGUAAGAUAUCACAGAUGAACUUUACCCAGUCUUAGCAAGAGUCAUGUAAUUCUCAUCUGUUCUGAUUCUACCAAUUGAAUCCACGUGAUAUUUUCUCCUGUUCACUAGCUAGAUUGUCAAGAUGUAUAACAAUGCCCCCCACAUCUUGUUUACCAUCGAUCAAGCAA
rnacentral:lncRNA from 1 species